CCCGCCCGCCCCCGGCCCGGCCUGGCUCAGCGGCUGCAGGCGGGGCCGACCGCACUCGGAGCCCGAGCCGGAGCCGCCGCCGCCUAGGGCGCUGGGUCGGCCACCGGGACACCGGAGCGGACCGCUAGGCUACCGCCGCAGAUUUGAAAGAAGCCAACUCGAAGCCACAGACAUACAAGAAGGCCAUUUCCUUAAACAAGAGUUGCCCUUUAACGAAAUUACCAUGGUGGACACAGAGAUGCCGUUUUGGCCCACCAACUUCGGGAUCAGCUCCGUGGACCUUUCUGUGAUGGACGACCACUCCCACUCCUUUGACAUCAAGCCCUUCACCACCGUUGAUUUCUCCAGCAUUUCCGCUCCACACUAUGAAGACAUUCCGUUCCCAAGAGCUGACCCAAUGGUUGCGGAUUAUAAGUAUGACCUGAAACUCCAAGAGUACCAAAGUGCAAUCAAAGUGGAGCCUGCAUCCCCACCUUACUAUUCUGAAAAGACUCAGCUGUACAAUAAGCCUCACGAAGAGCCUUCCAACUCCCUCAUGGCAAUUGAAUGCCGUGUCUGCGGGGAUAAAGCUUCAGGGUUCCACUACGGAGUUCAUGCUUGUGAAGGAUGCAAGGGUUUCUUCCGGAGGACAAUCAGAUUGAAGCUUAUUUAUGAUAGGUGUGAUCUUAACUGUCGGAUCCACAAAAAAAGUAGAAAUAAAUGUCAGUACUGUCGUUUUCAGAAGUGCCUUGCUGUGGGGAUGUCUCAUAAUGCCAUCAGGUUUGGGCGGAUGCCACAGGCCGAGAAGGAGAAGCUGUUGGCGGAGAUCUCCAGUGAUAUCGACCAGCUGAACCCAGAGUCUGCUGAUCUCCGGGCCCUGGCAAAACAUUUGUAUGACUCGUACAUAAAGUCCUUCCCGCUGACGAAAGCAAAGGCGAGGGCGAUCUUGACAGGAAAGACAACAGACAAAUCACCAUUUGUUAUCUAUGACAUGAAUUCCUUAAUGAUGGGAGAAGAUAAAAUCAAGUUCAAGCACAUCACCCCCUUGCAGGAGCCAAGCAAAGAAGUGGCCAUCCGCAUCUUUCAGGGGUGUCAGUUCCGUUCCGUGGAGGCUGUGCAGGAGAUCACAGAGUAUGCCAAGAGUAUUCCUGGGUUUGUAAAUCUUGACUUGAAUGACCAAGUAACUCUCCUAAAAUACGGCGUCCAUGAGAUCAUUUACACGAUGCUGGCCUCCUUGAUGAAUAAAGAUGGGGUUCUCAUAUCCGAGGGCCAAGGAUUCAUGACGAGGGAGUUUUUAAAGAGCCUGCGAAAGCCCUUUGGUGACUUUAUGGAGCCCAAGUUCGAGUUUGCUGUGAAGUUCAAUGCACUGGAAUUAGAUGACAGCGACUUGGCAAUAUUUAUAGCUGUCAUUAUUCUCAGUGGAGUCUUUAAAGAACAGUUACCUUGGAAAAUGGCAGAGGCAGUGUUCCGUCCCCCAAAGAGGAAAAGAAGAGUGUAUGAGAGCUAUGAGUCUCCACUGCCGAUCCCUUUCGGUCAGGACUGUGGUCCUGAGAAGGACUUUAGAAUAUUCCGGGCCGAGAUGAUAAACAACAACGUGAUUGUGAGGAACGCAGAAGAUAUGGAACAGCUGUAUGGGAAGGGUUAUUUUGGAAAAGGUAUCCUGUCCAGAAGCCGUCCAAACUUCACAACUUCAGAUCCUAAGCUGGUUGCUAAAUGGAAAGAUGUGAAGACAGACAUGCCUGUAAUCACGUCAAAAAAGUAUCAGCGUAGCGUGGAAUGGGCCACAAACCUCAUGCGAAGACAAGGCCAGGAUGAGAGCACAGUGCGUAGACUCCUUGAGGAUUACACAAAGCCCCUUCAGCAUCUUUGUCUGCAAAGGAAUGAAGAGGUCCAGUUGUGUAAUGAGCUGAAUUCUGAAAUGGUUUCCAAAACGGAAGGCACAGCAGAUAGAGAGAAACUUUCUGCCAUGAAUGGGGUUGCAGGAAAGUCACACGAUCUGGAGGAUCCCAGCAAGCGAUCAGACUGCCUGCAUGACUCCAGGCCUGACCCGAUACCUACCCACGGCUCGGGUGAACAUGUGGCGGAGGUCACCGCUCCUCUGCCCCAUGUGCACUGGGGCAAACAGGAUGUUCUCCUCCCGCCCUCUGGUGCUCAGCCUGGGGACAGCAGCCAACGAGCGGGUCUGGUCCUGGCCAGAGAGAGAGGGCCUGAGCAUCACUGCGUGCUGGUGGAGGAAGUCGUGUGUGACGUGAGUGAGAGGGAAGACGCCUCAGGUGGGAACAUGUCGCCAAAAAAGAGACUGAUAUGCAGAAGAAAUCCAUUUAGGAUCUUUGAGUACUUGCAGCUCAGCCUGGAAGAGGCCUUCUUCCUGGUCUAUGCUCUGGGAUGUCUAAGUAUCUACUAUGAGAAGGAGCCUUUAACAAUUGUGAAGCUCUGGAACGCCUUCCGCGUAGUUCAGCCUACGUUCAGGACUACGUACAUGGCGUACCAUCACUUCCGAAGCAAGGGCUGGGUACCCAAACCGGGCCUUAAGUACGGAACAGAUUUGCUUACUCUGUCAUCAUCGAGCUGGUGGAUGACCGUUUUGAGGGCUCUCCUCGCAGACCUCUCAGCUGGCGGUCCCUGGCCGCCCUGAGCAGAGUUUCAGUCAGUGUCUCCAAGGUAACACCGCCUCAGCUUUGGGGUUCAUGUGUCAUUUAAAUGGUUGGAUUUUUCGUCUUAAUUGUGGUAGAAGCAUGAAAGUCACGUGUAGGGACCGCAGAGCAUCUGCGUGAACGAAGCUCUGGAAGCUGGCCCCCCUCUCCGUUGUCCCCCACCAGCUCCACAGCUCCAGGGGUGGAGCUCCGAGGUUUCCCACGGGGAUGGGUGUCAGUGGGCAUUGCCUUCCUUCCUGGGGGCCAGCCCAACCAGCACGUGCUCAGAAUCCACUCCCACUCAUUCACAGACGACUCAAAAAACACUGACGUGUUUGUUUUUUCAUAGGUAGCAGAUCUCUCAAAGAGAGAGAGGAAGGGAAUUAGUAUUUAUCGCUAAACACCUUAUGUCUUUUCUCACUACCCUGUUAUUAUCCUCAUCCGAAGGGUGAGGAAUCAGAGUCAGAGAUGUUGGGUGACCAGUCCAAGAACACACAGCUCAUGAGCAGAGCUGGGAUUCAAACCCAGAGCCACAUGACUGCCCCACCUGUGUUCUCCGAUAUCCCACUGCCGUCAAGUUAGAAGGGACAUUUCGUCUCAUACCAGGACUACGAAGAAUGGCAGUUUUGUGUGUUCUCUGCUACUCAGUAACUCUCUGAGUUCUCCUUCCCACAGCUGCUGGAGGCGUGCAGGGCGUUGAGGCCGGAAGGGCCAGCAGGGCCAGAUGGCGGCUGCCUGGGCGCAGGCUACGUUGCUUAGGCUUUAUCCUGUGCGAGUCACUGUGUCCUAGAGAAAUAGGGGUCUAAACCGUUUCCAGUAUUGAAUAUUUUAAACGCUGUGUUUAUAAUCAGCAUAUGUGCUCUGUUUGCAUUCUCCUGCCAUGUCAACGAUGACUGAACGGCAGGUCUUUGGUCCGGAGUGGGGCCUGGUUACGUUCCCGGGAGGGAACGGACAUGCUUUGUGAGCUUCGGGCAGCACACACUGAGAGGGGGUGGAGGCGGCCGCGUUUCCUGCCCAGAUUUGGAUUUGUUUUGUGGGAUACGGAGUUUGUUUUUCAUGUCUCAAUAGGAAUUUAUGCUGUGCUAUUUGAUUAAACCCUCCACCAUGACUGACAAAGAAAUGGAGUCACCAGAAUGCAUGAAACAAAUUAAAGUUCAGGAGGUGAUUCUAAGCCGUUGGGUUUCUUCACGGGAGAGGAGCGAUCAAGACGAACUUUAA